rnacentral:miRNA from 1 species
AUACCGAACUUUGGAAAUGACCUU